UGUGGGUCCUGUCAGCCUGAUUAUUCCAGUUGAUGAGAUCCAGGAGGAGGAGGGUCUUCUCUGCUGAUGCUCUGCCCUCUGGAACAUCUUGCUCCCUGAUCUGAAGUUGGCCUCAGCCCUCCUAACAUUUCGUAAGGGCCUAAAGGGCCUGGAUCUAUGAGCUGGCCUGGAGCCCUGAUGGGGGAACAACACAGUGGAGUUGAUUAAUCAAGUGGAAUGUCUCUCCACUCUCCAGUACCCCAUUGGUCCUGAUAUUGCUGUGUCUGCUUUCACAAAAACAAAAAUGCAUUUCCAGCAGCAGUUUGAUUAUGUCAUGUGACAUCACAUAAGAAUGAGGAGAAUAUAUGGAGGAACUUUAUCAAAUCUGGCAACAGCUGGACAAGAGCAGAACUAUUCAAGACGAGCCCAUUAUGAUCUCAUCAGUCAAGUCAAGAGCAGUGGAACAAGAUUUCUCUGGUACAGCUGAGUGGCUGCUGGCUAUAUGCUGUUAGUUGCUUCUCCUGAAAUGUACAACAACAACAAAGUAAUAAAACAUGGAUCAUUUUUUGAAGUAUGGCUGAAU